CCGUCCCCCGCCGUCCCCCUCCGUUCCCCUCCGCACGCGGGUCUUCCCGGCCUCGGCCUCGGCCUGGCGGGGGGGCUGUGCGUCCCAGAGGCCUCGACCCCGGAACCGGCCGUCUCACCCCCCAAUUCCGCCCGGUCCCCCGCGCCUCCCUGUGCUCGCCCAAGACCCGAGGGGGCUGCUCCCGCAGCAGCACCGGGGCCAGCGCCCGGCUCCGGGGCGGGGACCCCGGCUCGCCCCCCGCCUCCCCCGCUGCUCCGACGCGGCCCCCCUGGCCGGGUGGCCCGACGGUACGGGUCGGGCGGUGCCGGGGGCGGCCGGUCGCUGACGCCCCGACACCCAGACAGCGCUGCCCGGGCCCCACCUGGGAUCCGCCCGUGGCCGGCGUCCGCUCCCCGGAGCCCGGCCCCCGCGAGGCCCGAGCGGCCGCGUCGCUGGAAGUCGGCGAAGUCUAAGCCGGGAGUUCGGUGCCUCAAGGCACGUAGGAAGCGUGCGAGAGGGCAGAGGAGUGCGCAGCUGAGGGCCUGCGGGCAGCAGGGGAGCUUCAAAGAGCCCGGGAUAUUUGAUUUGCACCUGAGAGGUGAGUGGGGUUGGGUAGACAGAGGUGAUGGGAGGGAACCGACCCAGUUGGAGCCCAGUUGGAGCGUGUGGGUGGGAGGCAGGAGAGAAGGCAGGGUCUGUGAAGAAGGAGCAGAGGCCAGUGUGGCUGGAGUCAAGGACUCAAGUCUGGCCUGGGGAGGUAGUAAGGGUGUAGGGAGGGGGUGUGGAGAGGUGGGGCCGGAAAGGCCUUGAGUUCUGCGUCCUAGGUCAUUCAUUCACUUGUGUCGGCCACUUUGUACGUGGGGUACUGGAAAUGAUCAGUCAGUUCUAGUGUCAUGAUUGUGACUAUUAACUUCGAGUGCUUUGCAGGCACGAUGUCACUGAAUUCUCAGAGCAUCCCCGGCAAGUAAGUUCUAGUAUGCCGUUCUGGAAGACAAGAAGGAAGGUGGACCUUGUGUGAUUUGCACGAGGGCACUGGAUCAGUAGGGGUGGCCCCCGGAGAUGGCACAGCUGGACUUUGAAUCUGGAUCUGAGUCCAGAGCCUAAGUGCUUUCUUGGCCAUGACUCGGUGCUUUCUCCCAGUGUUUGAGGCUGCUGCCUUCACACAGUGCUUCCCGUUUGCCUUGUUAAAUGGGGUUACACAUGAAUCAUAACCAUGCUGCUGACGCCGAAAAGGAUGAAAUUAAAGGCAUCCAAUAAAGCCAUCUGAUGGGGACCUGGGGUGGAAAAGCUUACUUUUAGUCCGGGGUGUAUUUCAGGCAGCCUGGACGGGGUAGCUCUUGGGCUGUACCCCCAGGACCACCUGACUCCCUGGUGCCCUGACCACAGGAAUCACCAUGACAAUCCCAGUUAGCAUUUCUUUGCAGACAGCUUGGCAGCUGGCAGCGUUGAGUGGGACCUGACGCCUUCUGGGCCCCUUCACUUUGAACAAGGGCUUGACACCCUUGGGGGUGAGUGAGUGCAGGCGGGCUGGACCUGUCCUCAGGCUGUGGCCCAGAGCCCUGAUACCUGAUCAGACCAGGGCCUGCGGUACCUUCUCCGCCCAUUCGCUGCCAGCCAGGGAUUUGGGUCCCAGUCCUCUCCCUUUCUUGUGGGAGACAUUCACUGGCCAAAGACACUUAGUCAGUGAGGCCCCAGGGGUCCUCAGCACCUCCGGGUAAGUGGCUGGGGAAGGAAGAUGGGCUCCGGUGGGGAAGCAGACAGUGGGCACCAGGGAGCACGGCUCUCUGAGCACUUCUCUGUUCACCCUGCACUGGCAUCUUUGAUCCAGGAGUUAAGAGAUUGUCUUGGACCCUGUGGCCUUGGAACAGCUGCCUCUCAUUAGCAUCCCAGUGCAGAGUUGCCAAUCUGCAGAAAUGUUGCCUCCUCUGACAACCCUUCCCUGACUACCCAC
rnacentral:lncRNA from 1 species